rnacentral:rRNA from 1 species
UGGGGAAUAUUGCACAAUGGGGGAAACCCUGAUGCAGCGACGCCGCGUGAACGAAGAAGGUAUUCGUAUCGUAAAGUUCUGUCCUAUGGGAAGAUAAUGACAGUACCAUAGAAGAAAGCUCCGGCUAAAUACGUGCCAGCAGCCGCGGUAAUACGUAUGGAGCGAGCGUUGUCCGGAAUUAUUGGGCGUAAAGGGUACGCAGGCGGUUUAAUAAGUCGAAUGUUAAAGAUCGGGGCUCAACCCCGCAAAGCAUUGGAAACUGAUAAACUUGGGUAGUAGAGAGGAAAGUGGAAUUCCUAGUGUAGUGGUGAAAUACGUAGAUAUUAGGAGAAAUACCAGUAGCGAAGGCGACUUUCUGGACACAAACUGACGCUGAGGUACGAAAGCGUGGGGAGCAAACAGG